rnacentral:lncRNA from 1 species
AUGAAUGUUAUGGCUGAGGUGAUUUCGAUGCCAGACUUAGGAGAAAAUGCGCGUUUACCCAGCUGUGAAGAUGACACAGGAACCCUUGAGCCACAAUGCCACUUGGACGGGAUUUAUGGACAGCUUUUCAAAACAAGCAUUCGAAACAUGAAUGUGCAUCCAGAGGCAGCUUGGGCAAAGAAUGCCAUUUUUGUUCUUCUUUUUUGCUUACCAGUUAAACACAAACAUUUGAAUAAAUGAAUAAUUUGGCAUCCAUGUGAACGUUUCAUACGCUACACACACUUUUUGCUUUCUAAAUAGUCACACAAUUUCUUCCUAGAUUUUGAAAGAUGCCAUUUUGAGAAAGAAAAAAAUACAAUAUAAUGUUUCAAAAGUUGUGAAAGAAAUGGUUAAUGUUUCUGCCAGUUCUCAGUCAGCAACUGGGUAUUCGAAAAAAUCAUAUUCUCAGAUACGAGCAAAGAUAUACAACUACAUGUUCCUAAACUGGGC